GAAAGAAAGACACAGAGACACAGAAUUCGGAUAAAAUAAUAAAAUUUCUUCUGGAGAGCAGGAGGGAAUGCCAGAAAUCAAUCUGACUGAUGGCACUGAAUUAGGAAUGCUCACACAGUUUUUAUGCCUUCUGGAUGUAGCUUUGAAGAACAAGC
rnacentral:lncRNA from 1 species